AUUGAACGCUGGCGGCAGGCCUAACACAUGCAAGUCGAGCGAGCGGCGGACGGGUGAGUAAUGUCUGGGAAACUGCCUGAUGGAGGGGGAUAACUACUGGAAACGGUAGCUAAUACCGCAUACCAUCAGAUGUGCCCAGAUGGGAUUAGCGAGUAGGGGGGGUAACGGCUCACCUAGGCGAAGAUCCCUAGCUGGUCUGAGAGGAUGACCAGCCAAACUGGAACUGAGAAACGGUCAAGGCUCCUACGGGAGGCAGCAGUGGGGAAGUUUGGACAAGGGGCGCAAGCCUGAUGGAGCCAUGCCGCGUGUGUGAAGAAGGCCUUCGGGUUGUAAAGCACUUUCAGCGGGGAGGCGUUACCCGCAGAAGAAGCACCGGCUAACUCCGUGCCAGCCGCCGCGGUAAUAC
rnacentral:rRNA from 1 species